GACGAACGCUGGCGGCGUGCUUAACACAUGCAAGUCGAACGAUGAAGCAAAGACUCGAAGCUUCGGCAGAAAUUCAUUUCGGAUUAGUGGCAGACGGGUGAGUAACGCGUGAGCAACCUACCUCUUACAAAGGGAUAGCCUCGGGAAACCGGGAUUAAUACCAUAUAACAUUGCGACGAAGCAUUUCGAUGCAAUCAAAGCUACGGCGGUAAGAGAUGGGCUCGCGUCCCAUUAACCGGAUGGUGAGGUAACGGCUCACCAUAGUGACGAUGGGUAACCGGCCUGAGAGGGUGAACGGUCACACUGGAACUGAGACACGGUCCAGACUCCUACGGGAGGCAGCAGUGGGGAAUAUUGCACAAUGGAGGGAACUCUGAUGCAGCGACGCCGCGUGAGUGAUGAAGGAAUUCGUUUCGUAAAACUCUGUUCUAUGGGAAGAAAAGGACUGUACCAUAGGAGAAAGCUCCGGCUAAAUACGU
rnacentral:rRNA from 1 species